GCCGCGGUGCCCGAGCGGACCAAGGGGUCUGGCUCGAGACCAGAUCCCCGAUAAGGGGACCGGGGUUCGAAUCCCCGCCGCGGCG
rnacentral:tRNA from 1 species